GGAGAAAUGGCUGAGUGGUUAAAAGCGGUAGACUGUAAAUCUGUUGAAAUAAUUUCUACGUAGGUUCGAAUCCUACUUUCUCCA
rnacentral:tRNA from 1 species